rnacentral:lncRNA from 1 species
ACGAAAACGAAAGAGCGGGAUGCGGUUCCACUUGCGCCGCUGCGGGCUAGGAGCAGGGCAGGGCAGGGCAGGGGCCGGCCCCGUGGGAGCGCAGCACCGGGGCGCUGCCCGCUCGCUAGCCUGGGAGGCGUGGGUCCUGCACACAGCCUCCAGCCGGCGGACAGUCCCUCUGGCGACCUGGCCUUGGCUCCCACUGGGGCAGAGCCGGGAUUCUGCAGGAUCUGAGGAUCUAAGGGGACCCCUAGUCCUGAACUCGGAACCAACUGCGUCUCUCACGGUCCCGAGCCCAGGACCAGGAAGGACCCUGUGAGUCUCCGCACAUAGGAUAGGAAGGGGCCUCGCAUGGUGCCUCUCCCUUUAGGGCAAAUGGUUGUUCCAGAAAAAAUGCAGCAACACCUGAACUCUUCUAAAGAAAAAGAAGACAAAAUGAUCUAGUGCAUCUCUGCCAUCCUGUU